rnacentral:rRNA from 1 species
AGUGAACGCUGGCGGUAGGCCUAACACAUGCAAGUCGAACGGCAGCACAGUAAGAGCUUGCUCUUACGGGUGGCGAGUGGCGGACGGGUGAGGAAUACAUCGGAAUCUACUUUUUCGUGGGGGAUAACGUAGGGAAACUUACGCUAAUACCGCAUAUGACCUACGGGUGAAAGCAGGGGAUCUUCGGAGCUUUCGCGAUUGAAUGAGCCGAUGUCGGAUUAGCUAGUUGGCGGGGUAAAGGCCCACCAAGGCGACGAUCCGUAGCUGGUCUGAGAGGAUGAUCGGCCACACUGGAACUGAGACACGGUCCAGACUCCUACGGGAGGCAGCAGUGGGGAAUAUUGGACAAUGGGCGCAAGCCUGAUCCAGCCAUACCGCGUGGGUGAAGAAGGCCUUCGGGUUGUAAAGCCCUUUUGUUGGGAAAGAAAAGCAGCAGGUUAAUACCCCGCUGUUCUGACGGUACCCAAAGAAUAAGCACCGGCUAACUUCGUG